AUUGAACGCUGGCGGCAUGCCUUACACAUGCAAGUCGAACGGCAGCACGGGAGCAAUCCUGGUGGCGAGUGGCGAACGGGUGAGUAAUGUAUCGGAACGUACCUUUCAGUGGGGGAUAACGUAGCGAAAGUUACGCUAAUACCGCAUAUUCUGUGAGCAGGAAAGCAGGGGAUCGCAAGACCUUGCGCUGAUUGAGCGGCCGAUAUCAGAUUAGCUAGUUGGUGAGGUAAAGGCUCACCAAGGCGACGAUCUGUAGCGGGUCUGAGAGGAUGAUCCGCCACACUGGAACCGAGACACGGUCCAGACUCCUACGGGAGGCAGCAGUGGGGAAUUUUGGACAAUGGGCGCAAGCCUGAUCCAGCCAUGCCGCGUGAGUGAAGAAGGCCUCGGUUG
rnacentral:rRNA from 1 species